rnacentral:rRNA from 1 species
UACGAAGGGGGCUAGCGUUGCUCGGAAUCACUGGGCGUAAAGCGCACGUAGGCGGCUUUCUAAGUCAGGGGUGAAAUCCUGGAGCUCAACUCCAGAACUGCCUUUGAUACUGGAGAGCUUUGAGGCGGAGAGGUGAGUGGAACUCCGAGUGUAGAGGUGAAAUUCGUAGAUAUUCGGAAGAACACCAGUGGCGAAGGCGGCUCACUGGCCCGAUACUGACGCUGAGGUGCGAAAGCGUGGGGAGCAAACAGG